rnacentral:rRNA from 1 species
UACGAAGGGGGCUAGCGUUGCUCGGAAUCACUGGGCGUAAAGCGCACGUAGGCGGCUUCUUAAGUCAGGGGGUGAAAUCCUGGAGCUCAACUCCAGAACUGCCUUUGAUACUGAAGAUCUUGAGUCCGGGAGAGGUGAGUGGAACUGCGAGUGUAGAGGUGAAAUUCGUAGAUAUUCGCAAGAACACCAGUGGCGAAGGCGGCUCACUGGCCCGGUACUGACGCUGAGGCACGAAAGCGUGGGGAGCAAACAGGG